UACAGCCACCGUGAAAAAAAAAACCAACAAAAAUAUUGUUUUGCAAUCAAAACUGAACAAAAAAAAAUAUGCCUGCCUGCCCACUAACUCCCCAACCAGUCACCAUCAGUCACCACCAGUCACCGGUAGGAGCCAGGUCGUCAGUCACUUGACAGUCCGAUGCUGUCCGUCACUCCGUCUGUUACCCCUUCAAAAAGACUUCUUCGGGCUACCUCAACCUCUAGCGGCUUAGGAGCAUCGUGAAUCCAUCGAACAGCCGACGCGAUAAGAACGAAUACUACUCUUCUGUCAAAAUCUCGACGCGUCAGUCCGUCCGUCCGUCCCAACUUCUACUACUACUGCUACUACUACUACUACUACUACCUACUACUACUACUACUACUACUACUACUACUACUACUCGUCCACCAUCACGUUAAACUUAGCCGACAACGCGACCGCCACUUCUCUUCGACCAAGCGCAAAGCAAAAUGAUCACCUACACACCAUCCUACCACCACCCAACCAAGUACCAUCACCACCACCAACCACCACUACAUGUUCACAGUUGUCUGCAAAUCUUUAGUACGAUGUGCAACAGUUGGAUCAUUAAAAGCAACGAGAAAUGAUUUAUCAACAUGUCGAAUGCGCAGCAUCGGUUGUCAGUGACCAAAUAGAUUUCAAUGUUUCAAUUAUUAAAAUCAAUAAAAUUUUAAAUACAA